CCUACGGGUGGCAGCAGUGGGGAAUAUUGCACAAUGGGCGAAAGCCUGAUGCAGCAAAGUCGCGUGAAGGAAGAAGGGUUUCGGCUCGUAAACUUCUAUCAACAGGGACGAAAGAAAUGACGGUACCUGAAUAAGCAGCCCCGGCUAAAUACGUGGCAGCAGCCGAGGUAAUACGAAGGGGGCCAGCGUUAUCCGGAAUUACUGGGUGGAAAGGGUGAGUAGGCGGGAUGGUAAGCCAGAUGUGAAAGCCUUGGGCUUAACCCGAGGAGUGGAGUUGAAACUAACAAGCUAGAGUACCGGAGAGGAAAGCGGAAUGCCUAGUGUAGCGGUGAAAUGCGUAGAUAUUACGAAGAACACCAGUGGCGAAGGCGGCUUACUGGACUGAAACUGACGCUGAGGCACGAAAGCGUGGGGAGCGAACAGGAUUAGAUACCCCAGUAGUC
rnacentral:rRNA from 1 species